CUCUCUGUAGCUCAGUUGGUUAGAGCUCGACAACUGUCUCUCUGUAGCUCAGUUGGUUAGAGCUCGACAACUGUCUCUCUGUAGCUCAGUUGGUUAGAGCUCGACAACUGUCUCUCUGUAGCUCAGUUGGUUAGAGCACUGCACCGGGAUCGCUGGGCCGCAGGUUCGAUUCCUGCCAGAGGGCCUAUAGUUGCAUUUUUGGCAUCUGUUCCUGGUUAUGUCUAAACUUGAAUAUAAUUCCAUCUACAAAAAUCCUUCGUACGUUAAUUCUAUAUUGAGCGAGAUGGCCAAAAAAUCUCGAUAUAUACGUUAUUUCACGUCAAAAAUCAUUUUCCAAAAAUACAUCAGCCUAUGUUGCGUCCUGGUGACUAUCGUCCUAGCCCUGGGCGUGAUCAUAGAAGAAUCAACAAACGCUGCAUUGAUACAUGGCUAUUUGAAGGAAGAUUCAUACUGCGAGAAAGAAGCAGUCUCCUCUUAUCGCAAGAAAGAUUGUUACAAGCUCAAAAACGCGAAUCCCUGGUAUUAUAUCUUGCUGUACGCAACUGAUCUUGUGUUGGCGCUCUGUUCCUUCGUGAUGUUGCUACUGUUUGCGGACUGGAUUUUGUUUGUUGCACUGGUAAGAUUAACAAACUGUACUGUUUAUUGCACUAUUGGCCCAACGAUAUAAUUUUGAACGCUGUGCCAGUUCGAAACGUCGAAGUUCUCCUUGUAUUUUUCAGGUAGUUGUAUCCCUAUAUCAAUCCGAAGCUUUGGUUUCUUUCCAAAUGGCUUCGUUUUUAUUUCCUCAUGUUCGUAUACAGUAUAGGGCUUUUCAUAAUUUCAUUUGUGUGAAAUGAUGACGCAUUAAUUUGUAUUUAUGCAUAUGAUACAUAACUGAAUUCGCUGGAGGAGGUAUGCAGUCUCCAAGUGUCCUUUAUAGUUUAAUUUAUAAAAACAAAUUGUUAUUAUGGCCUCUCUAUCUUCCCACUGGAAUUUUUUUCAAAAUCCAUGGAACUUAGUUGAAAAUAGUAUCGAAAUCCAAUUUUCAUACUGAUGACAAUUUUCAUACUAUGGUAUAAGUAUGGAAAAAAUGGACGACUUGCGCUUUAGAAAAAAUUUUAAUCUGGGAAUAACAAAGGAUAUUUUCGGAAAAAGUUAUCCAAAUUAGAAAAACUCCAAAGUUUGGUGGCGAAAUGCUGUAAAAUACGGAAAAUAUAGCAUUUCACAAAUAUAACAUUUCUAUUACGUGCGGAAAUUGGUAACUAAUUUAGUUACCAAUUCACGCACGUAAUACAAAAGUAUACAAAUUUGCCAACUUUGAAGGGCUAUAUUUUCCGUAUUUUACAACAUUUCGCAACCAAACUUUGUAAUAUUACUAAUUCCAAGACGCUCUUUCUAGCUGCGGUGAUAGAUUUCGUUGUUCUUACUUAGAUUAAAAUUUAGUCUAAAGCGCAAGUCGUCCAUUCCCGAGUAUGAAUUUCACUAUUUUUUUCCAGUGUGUAAUGUUGAACAGUACCUAUUUUACGUAACAUUUUCAGAAAACGCAACUUAACGACCUAGUGGCACAGGAAGUCCCUCCACCGUACCAGCAAACGUCGAAUACUCAACCAGGAAAUCACAACGAAAUAUCAAUGUAUCCAUAAAUGCUCAUGCAGCUCAACUGAAAACUCUUGAGUGUGGAUGCGAGAAUUUUCAUUGGCAAUUUAUAAUUUAAUUACAUGCAUGUAUGUGUUUGCUUCUGGACGUAAUACCACAGAAUAGAGACUUUACAGAAGGCCGACUCAACUGAUGCCAUGAUGCGUCAUCAAAAUGCACUUGCCAUGUUCCUAGCUAGUGUGCGUACGAAAGGUAUUCACUCCCCUGAACAUCCACCAUUUUGAGGGGUUUUUUCAGCAGGGUGCAUGAAUGCCUGUCCUAAACGCACGAGCUAGGAACAUGGCGACGUAACGGUUAGGCCAAAAUCAUGAAGUCGACCUUCUGUAAGGUCUCUAUUCUGUGGUAAUACGCUACACGCGUGUUUCAUAUAUAAUAGCACGGUUGUCCUGUAUUUUUAUGUUCUCCUUUUACUCUAUUGUGAAUUUAACGUUUAAAAUUAAAAGAACUUACUUAAACGCUUUCAGCAGCAUACCCUGUUGCCUGUUGGCUAUUCUCUUUUACAUUCGUAGUUUAUAAACUUGCGACUGUUGUGCGGGCAUUUUGUUUAUUUAUGUACGUAGCCGGCCGGGGAGGGCAACAAAUUUUCACUGGUUGCCCGGCGGAAAACAUUGCAUUUCUAAAGC
rnacentral:lncRNA from 1 species